CAGCCAGCGACCAUGUCACCGCUUUAAAAACAACAGGCCCAGAUGGCGCUGUCCACUCGCUCCACCGUGUUAUCUCUCUACAUCCGGGUGUUUCGGAUCGCCCGGGCCUGGCAGGCCCAGACCGGCGCCGCGAGCGACUCGGAGGCGGAGAGGCGGUACAUCGAGCAAGAGGCCCGGUCUCUGUUCAGGCAGAACCAGCCGCUCACAGAUCCAGAAUCCAUAAGGAGAUGCAUAGAGGAAUGUGAAGCCAGGAUAGAAAUAGGUCUGCAUUACAGGAAUCCGUACCCCAGAGCGACCUACCUGCCUCCUCUGGGUCUGGCCACGCAGCGGGGCAGGCGGCUGCGCGCUCAGCAGCGCCUCCGGAAGCAGGCCAAACCCGUCUACCUGCAGUCCCACGACGACACCUGAAGGCGCCGUCCCCGGUUACCAUGGUUACCUCAGAGAGGAAGCCGGAGUCCGCAUCAGGGGCCGAACUUCUGCAAGCGGGCUGCCGCAUGGGGGAGCCAUUUCACCGGAAUCAGAAGAAGUUGAACCAGAACUAAGGAUCUAAGUUAUAUAAUAAUGGCUGUUAUAAAGAAGAGCUCCUGUGGCAGUCCAUGUGGCAGUGAAGGUGAAGGAACCUCUGACUGAAGACAAGAAGAUGCUCAGAGUUCUCCAUAAUUAUUAUGAGAUAAUAUAAAUAAAAUCAAUAUAAUUUAUUUCAUUAUUCAAAAUAAAUAAAUAAAAC